CAGGGAAGUGCUCAGAGCAGCAAACCUGCCAGAGUUCAAGAAGCACUUGGACAAUGCCCUAAGGCACAUGGUGUGAUUUUUUGGGGCUGUCUUGUGCAG